rnacentral:rRNA from 1 species
AGUGAACGCUGGCGGUAGGCCUAACACAUGCAAGUCGAACGGCAGCACAGUAAGAGCUUGCUCUUACGGGUGGCGAGUGGCGGACGGGUGAGGAAUACAUCGGAAUCUACUUUUUCGUGGGGGAUAACGUAGGGAAACUUACGCUAAUACCGCAUACGACCUACGGGUGAAAGCAGGGGAUCUUCGGACCUUGCGCGAUUGAAUGAGCCGAUGUUGGAUUAGCUAGUUGGCGGGGUAAAGGCCCACCAAGGCGACGAUCCGUAGCUGGUCUGAGAGGAUGAUCAGCCACACUGGAACUGAGACACGGUCCAGACUCCUACGGUAGGCAGCAGUGGGGAAUAUUGGACAAUGGGCGCAAGCCUGAUCCAGCCAUACCGCGUGGGUGAAGAAGGCCUUCGGGUUGUAAAGCCCUUUUGUUGGGAAAGAAAAGCAGCAGGUUGAUACCCCGCUGUUCUGACGGUACCCAAAGAAUAAGCACCGGCUAACUUCGUG